ensembl:lncRNA
CAGGAUGUUGCCUAUACAGCAAACAAUACAGGCUGUGCUGUAAUGCUAGGUCUGCACUAGCAAUACAAGCCAGAACAAUGCAUGAGCACGAUGCUUUAGAAAUGACACCACGGAGGCUUUGCUGUGCAACACUCAGACUGCACGAGCCCGACGGGCCUGACGGGCCGCGGCUUUUUGGGAGAGCACUCAGCGGCACAGUGGCAGCCUGUGAUUGCUGUGGUGGAGCCCUGAGGUCAUCACAGUCGGGGCUUUGAUGGGCAGAGCUUUGACUUUUCUGUUAGCAACCAGGACCAUAAUGAACCCUGACUCCAACAGACACUCAGGAUCCACCUGCCCAAGCUGCAUGAACCUGUUGUUGAUGUCAGAGAGUCAAACUCUGCUGAAGAGUGGGUUGUUUCCUGUUCAGCCACUGGUCGACCUGCUCCCACUGUAACACUCAGUGUCUCACA